rnacentral:rRNA from 1 species
AGAGUUUGAUCAUGGCUCAGAGCGAACGCUGGCGGCAGGCCUAACACAUGCAAGUCGAACGGAUCCUUCGGGAUUAGUGGCGGACGGGUGAGUAACACGUGGGAACGUGCCCUUUGGUUCGGAACAACUCAGGGAAACUUGAGCUAAUACCGGAUGUGCCCUUCGGGGGAAAGAUUUAUCGCCAUUGGAGCGGCCCGCGUCUGAUUAGCUAGUUGGUGAGGUAAAGGCUCACCAAGGCGACGAUCAGUAGCUGGUCUGAGAGGAUGAUCAGCCACAUUGGGACUGAGACACGGCCCAAACUCCUACGGGAGGCAGCAGUGGGGAAUCUUGCGCAAUGGGCGAAAGCCUGACGCAGCCAUGCCGCGUGAAUGAUGAAGGUCUUAGGGUUGUAAAGCUCUUUUGCCAGGGAAGAUGAUGACUGUACCUGGAGAAUAAGCCCCGGCUAACUUCGUG